CACGUAGGGUGCGAGCGUUGUCCGGAAUUAUUGGGCGUAAAGAGCUCGUAGGCGGUGUGUCGCGUCGGCCGUGAAAGCCUGCAGCUUAACUGUGGGCUUGCGGUCGAUACGGGCAUCACUGGAGUUCGGCAGGGGAGACUGGAAUUCCUGGUGUAGCGGUGAAAUGCGCAGAUAUCAGGAGGAACACCGGUGGCGAAGGCGGGUCUCUGGGCCGAUACUGACGCUGAGGAGCGAAAGCGUGGGGAGCAAACAGG
rnacentral:rRNA from 1 species